rnacentral:lncRNA from 1 species
UUCCGCGCCACGUUCGCCGGGUCCCACGCCAACGACCUCCGCCGCGACGGCCUCGCCGCGCCGCCGCUCCCGGGGUUCAUGUACGAGGGCGUCCGCGACCUCCCCCGCGCCGUCGACUGGCGCCGCAAGGGCGCGGUCACCGGCGUCAAGGACCAGGGCAAGUGCGGCAGCUGCUGGGCGUUCUCCACGGUGGUGUCCGUGGAGGGCAUCAACGCGAUCCGGACGGGGCGGCUGGUGUCGCUGUCGGAGCAGGAGCUGAUCGACUGCGACACGGCGGACAACAGCGGCUGCCAGGGCGGGCUCAUGGAGAACGCGUUCGAGUACAUCAAGCACAGCGGCGGCAUCACCACCGAGUCCGCCUACCCGUACCGCGCCGCCAACGGAACGUGCGACGCCGUCCGCGCGCGGCGCGCGCCGCUGGUGGUGAUCGACGGGCACCAGAACGUGCCGGCCAACAGCGAGGCCGCGCUCGCCAAGGCCGUCGCCAACCAGCCCGUCUCCGUCGCCAUCGACGCCGGCGACCAGUCCUUCCAGUUCUACUCCGACGGCGUCUUCGCCGGCGACUGCGGCACCGACCUCGACCACGGCGUCGCGGUGGUCGGCUACGGCGAGACCAACGACGGCACGGAGUACUGGAUCGUCAAGAACUCGUGGGGCACAGCCUGGGGCGAGGGCGGCUACAUCCGGAUGCAGCGCGACUCCGGCUACGACGGCGGCCUCUGCGGCAUCGCCAUGGAAGCCUCCUACCCCGUCAAGUUCUCGCCAAAUCGUGUCACGCCAAGGCGCGCCCUUGGCGCCAAGGAAACCCAGUGAUCGAGCCGGCGCCAUCUCCGCCGUACACGUGCCCGCCUACGAGCCUGGAUCAACGGCUCUGGUCGCGUCUCCUCCUCCAGCUUGCAAAAUGGUGCUAUUAUUGUUGCUGCUCUUUGUUAAUU